UUUCCCCUUUGGCAACCAUAAGUUUGUUUUCAAAGUCUGUGAGUCUGUUUCUGUUUUGUAAAUAAAUUCAUUUGUAUCAUUUUUUAAAGAUUCCUCAUAUAAGUGAUAUCAUAUGAUAUUUGUCUUUCUCUGUCUGGCUUACUUCACUUAGUAUGAUAGUCACCAGGUCCAUCCAUGUUGCUCCAAAUGGCAUUAUUUCUUUUUUUUUAAUGGCUGAGUAAUAUUCCAUUGUAUGUAUGUACCACAUCUUCUUUAUCCAUUCCUCUGUCGAUGGACAUUUAGGUGGCUUCCAUGUCUUGGCUUCUGUAAAUAGUGCUGCAAUGAACAUUGGGGUGCAUGUAUCCUUCCGAACCAUGGUUUUCCCCGAUAUAUGCCCAGUAGUGGGAUUGUUGGAUCAUAUAGCAAGUCUAUUUUUAGUUUUUUAAGGAACCUCCAUACUGUUCUCCAUAGUAGCUCUACCAGUUUACAUUCCCACCAACAGUGUAAGAAGGUUCUCUUUUCUCUAUACCCUCUCCAGCAUUUAUUGUUUGUAGGCUUUUUGAUGAUGGCCAUUCUGACCUGUGUGAGGUGGUACCUCAUUGUAGUUUUGAUUUGCAUUUCUCUAAUAAUUAGCAAUGUUGAGCAUCUUUUCGUGUGCCUGUUGGCCAUCUGUAUGUCUUCUUUGGAGAAAUGUCUAUUUAGGUCUUCUGCCCAUUUUUUGAUUGGGUUGUUCAUUUUUUUGAUAUUGAGCUUCAUGAGCUGUUUGUAUGUUGGAGAUUAAGCCCUUGUCGGUUGCUUCGUUUGCAAAUAUUUUCUCCCAUUCUGUGGGUUGUCUUUUCAUUUUGUUUAUGGUUUCCUUUGCUAUGCAAAAGCUUUUGAGUUUAAUUAGGUCUCAUUUGUUUAUUUUUGUUUUUAUUUCUAUUACUCUAGGAGACAGAUCAAAAAAGAUAUUGCUGUGAUUUAUGUCAAAGAGUGUCCUGCCUAUGUUUUCCUCUAAGAGUUUUAUAGUAUCCGGUAUUACAUUUAGGUCUUUAAUCCAUUUUGAGUUUAUUUUUGUGUAUGGUGUUAGAGAAUGUUCUAAUUUCAUUCUUUUACAUGUAGCUGUCCAGUUUUCCCAGCACCACUUAUUGAAGAGACUGUCUUUUCUCCAUUGUAUAGUUUUGCCUCUUUUGUCAUAGAUUAAUUCACCAUAGAUGCAUGGGCUUUCUAUCCUGUUCCAUUGAUCUACAUUUCUGUUUUUUGUGCCAGUACCAUACUGUUUUGAUUACUGUAGCUUUGAAGUAUAGUCUGAAGUCUUGGGGCCUGAUUCCUCCAGUUCUGUUUUUCUUUCUCAAGAUUGCUUUGGCUCAAACUGUAUUUUAAAAUAUACCUCUAUCUUACCCCCAAAUGAAUUCCAGUACAGUUUUUUAAAAUUUUUAUUUAUUUAUUUAUUUUUGGCUGUGUUGGGUCUUUGUUUCUGUGCGAGGGCUUUCUCUAGUUGCAGCAAGUGGAGACCACUCUUCAUUGCGCUGCGCGGGCCUUUCACUAUCGCGGCCUCUCUUGUUGUGGAGCACAGGCUCCAGAUGCGCAGGCUCAGUAAUUGUGGCUCACGGGCCUAGUUGCUCUGCGGCAUGUGGGAUCUUCCCAGACCAGGGCUUGAACCCAUGUCCCCUGCAUUGGCAGGCAGAUUCUCAACCACUGCGCCACCAGGGAAGCCCUCCAGUACAUUUUAUAUUAAAUGGUGUGUCUCUUUCCCACUGACUUAAAAUGCUACUUUCUCACUGAAGGUCUCUGUCUCAUGUUUUAAUUAUCAGAGUUUUAUGAUAAAAAGAUGUAAGAGCUAUUCCUUUAUUACUACUGGGUAUUUUUGUUUGUUUUGUUUUGUUUUUCCUUCAAAUGCUUGCCUGCUUAUUUUGUCUGAUCUUUGGUAGCACUUUGACUACUUCUAAGAAGUUUGAUAGUAUUUUCUUUUUCUUUUUUUUGGAUAGUAUUUUCAAGAUGGCAUUAAAUAUUGAUGAACGUAGGCAGAACUGACAUUGGCUAAUGCUGAUUCUUCCUAUCCAAGAACAGGAACAUCUCAGUUUGCUAUGUAAAUUUUUGUUGUCAUUGCUGGCACUGUGAGUGGACUUCCCCCCUCCCCCCACAACACCAACUGAUGAUUCUUUGAACUUUGGAAAGCUCUUGGUUUUUCUGCAUAGUGUGGUACCCCGUUACCUUGCUGAAUUCUCUUAUCCAGUGGUUCUCGACCUUGAGCCUGCAUCAGAAUCACCUAGAGGGCUUCUUAAACUACAGACUGGGGACCUCCACUCCCAGAGUUUGAUUCAGUAGUUCUGGGGAGGGACUAGAGAAUUUACAUUGCUUAUAAAUUCCCAGGUGCUGCUGCUGAGGCUGGUCUGGGGACCUCACACAGAACCACUGCUGUUCAUUGUUUCUGAUUAUCUAUGAAUUCUCUGGGAGUUUGCAGCUAUUAUGAUUCUUUUUGUCUGAAAAAAAUUUUUGCCUUUAUUUUUUUUUGGCUGCAUUGGGUUUUCGUUGCUGCGCACGGCUUUCUCUAGUUGCUGCGAGUGGGGGCUACUCUUUGAUGUGGGCUUCUCAUUGCGGCGGCUUCUCUUGUUGUGGAGCAUGGGCUCUAGGCAUGCGGGCUCAGUAGUUGUGGUGUGCGGGCUCUAGGGCACAUGGGCUUCAGUAGUUGUGAUGCGUGGGCUCAGUAGUUGUGGUGUGCGGGCUUAGUUGCUCUGUGACAUGUGGGAUCUUCCCGGACCAGGGAUCAAACCCGUGUCCCUUGCAUUGGCAGGUGGGUUCUUAAGCACUGCGCCACCAGGGAAGUCCUUGCCUUUUUUUUUGAAGGAUUGUUUUUGCUUUUUUUUUUUUUUUUUUUUAAGAUAUUUUGACAUUUUUCCCCUGGUACUUUAAAGCAUCUUUCUGUUACCUUUUGGCUUGUGUGAUUUUUUUCCCCCCCAGCUUUAUUGAGAUAUAAUUGACACAUAAGAUUGUAUAGUUUAAGAUGUACACUGUGUUGAUUGCAGCUAUUAUGAUGGCAUACCUGGAAAUAAGGAUAAUUUCCCUACCUGCUUUCUAGACCUUUCAUUUCUUCCUCUUGAUUAAUUGUAUCAGCAAAUACUUUCCGAAUUUUAACAAUAACGAUGCAUCCUUCUUAUUCCUGACUUGAAUGGAAAUGCAUCUAGUCUUUUAUACAGUAAGUGUGAUGCUGGCUUUUGUUUUGAGAUGUUUUGUAUAUAUAUAAGUAUACACUUUUCAUGCAAAGAAAGUACCCAUUUAUAUUUGUUAUUAAGAGUGUCAAGAGUAGAUGUUCAAUUUUAUAAAAAGCUGUUUUUUUAGCAUCCAUGUUUUUCUUCAGAGUUAUUAAUAAGAAAUACCAAAUUCUUCCAAAUAUUAAGGUUCCAAAUACUGAGCCAUCUUUGUGCUUUUAAAAAAAAUUUUUUUUUAAAUUAAUUAAUUAAUUAAUUAAUUUAUGGCUGCAUUGGGUCUUCAUUGCUGUGUGUGGGCUUUCUCUAGUUGCAGUGAGCGGGGGCUACUCUUAGUUACAGUGUGCAGACUUCUCAUUGUGGUGGCUUCUCUUGUUGCAGAGGAUGGGCUUCAGUAGUUGUGGCUCGCGGGCUCUAGAGCGCAGGCUCAGUAGUAGUGGUGCACGGGCUUAGUUGCUCUGUGGCAUGUGGGAUCUUCCUGGACCAGGGCUUGAACCCGUGUCUCCUGCAUUGGCAGGUGGAUUAUUAACCACUGUGCCACCAGGGAAGUCCCCAUCUUUGUGCCUGAAACUGUCACUCUUAAUGUGUUCAUUCAGUUGGCACAUGUUUAGUGUUUUUGUGGCAGUGUAUAUAAAUGAGUUGGUCUGUGGUUUCUUGUUUUGUUUUGGUCAGAUUUUAUGUAAGUCACACUUUAAAAUUGUGCUGGCCUUACAAAAAUAAUUUAGAAUCUUUCUUUCUUCCAGGUUCUAGAAAAUGCAAAUGAAAGGAGUUCCUUAAAGUUUGGGUAGAAUUCAUCUGGUAUUUCUUGGUUUGGUGGUGGGGGGAAGGGGUUAACUAUUGAUAACCUUAUCCUUUUUUUUUUUUUUUUUUAAUCAUUUGGGUUGUCUGAAAUCUCUGCUCGGAUCAGUUUUGUUGAUUUUUUAUAUUUCUUAGUAAAUUUUCCACAUCAUUUAAGUCUUCAAAUUAAUUUACAUAGAUUGACUGAAAUAUUUGAAAUUUUUCGUAGUUGUAGAUUUUUUUCUGUGUUUUCCUUUCAUUUUUUUUUCCUAGAUUAGGUUCUACCAAUUUUGUUUUGUAGUUAAUAUUGUUUUUAUAUUAUUUUUGCUGCUUUUUUAUGUUUAUUUUUCAUUUUCAUUUUUUUGAGUUGAUUAUUAAAUGACUGAAUAAAAAGAGAGAGUAAAUGAGACUAUAUGGGGCUACUACUUUUUUUCUAUGAGCUCUGCUUUACAUUGCGGCGUGAUCAUUGCAUUUACAGAUUCUGAUUGGCGUGUGUGUGAUGAGCUUCCAGGUUUUCUGCAGUUCCAUUUUGAUUUUCUCUUGGGCCCACGAGUUUUACAAUUUUGGUAUGCUAGAGAAUUUCUCCACAGCUUCAUUCAUUCAUUCAUUCAUUUAUUUAUUUUUGGCUGUGUUGGAUCUUCGUUUCUGUGCGAGGGCUUUCUCUAGUUGUGGCAAGCACGGGCCACUCUUCAUCGCAGUGCGUGGGCCUCUCACUAUCGCGGCCUCUCUUGUUGCGGAGCACAGGCUCCAGUCACGCAGGCUCAGUAGUUGUGGCUCACGGGCCUAGUUGCUCCGCGGCAUGUGGGAUCUUCCCAGACCAGGGCUCGAACCCGUGUCCCCUGCAUUGGCAGGCGGAUUCUCAACCACUGCGCCACCAGGGAAGCCCCCUCCACAGCUUCUUUUGUGGUUUUGUUGAACAGUGAUUAGAGAGGUUGACUGUAUCACAUCUACUUCCUGGAAUCAAUCGAGGUUUCAGUGGUGUCCUUACAUGGCAGGUUAGUGAUGAGCGAGGUCACCUGUAUCUACUUUUUGAGAUCAAUUUCCUUGCUUGUGGUCAGUUAAGAGUCUCCUAGUGAAGUUUCUGUGUUUUUCCUAAAUUUUCUCUACUGUGCUCUAUGAAUUUGGAUGUUGUGUUGGUACAUACCCAGGCCUAUUAGAUUUUCGGUGGUGGUUAUGUCUUAUUAAAUUCCCUUCUUUGUCUCACUGAAUGCUUUUGGCCUGGAUUUUUAAAAUCUCAUCUGACAAUUAGUAGUGUCACCCCUGUUGCGUGAGUUGUUGUCUGUAUUUGCCUGGUAUAUUUUUGCUCAAUUUUUUUGAGUCUUUUUUUUUUCCUUGAACUUUAUUUUGAAAUAAUUUUAGAUUGACAUAGAAGUUGUAAAAAUAGUGCAGAGAUCUCCUGUGUACCCAUCACCCAGUUUCCCCCAAUGAAAACAUCUUAAAUAACCACAGACCAAAUAAUCAAAACCAGGAAAUCAGAGUUAAUGCAAUACUAUGAACUAAACAGCUCAAACCUUAUGUGAAUUUCACCAGUUUUUCCAUAGUACCUGAUUUGAGGCCUACUUGAAGUUAAGGGCACAGUCCUCCAGAUGGCAAAGUCUACCCAAGACUUCUGAAACCAAUUGCAAGUUCAGGGAAUUCCCCAAACCACCCUCAGGUUGGAUAAUUUGCUAAAAAAAAAAAACAAAACUCAUGGAAACCUAUCAUACUGAUGGUCAUAUUUAUUACAGGGAAAGGAUACAAAUGAGGACCAGACAAAGGGAAGAAUCUGGGAGGGUUCAAAACACAGAGCCUCUGGUUGUCCUCUUCCGGUGAGUCCUUCUAGAGAAUCACUGAGCCGGAGGGUAGUCUUGGGGACCCCUGCCACAAGUUAUAUGAAAUUUUAUUACAUGUGUAGAUCAGUGAAACCACUACAAUUGGGAUACACAACUGUCCCAUCACCCCCAAACUCCUUCAGGUUCUCCCUCUGCAGUCACACCCUCUUAAUCCUACCCUUAGCAACCUCAAAUCCAUUUUCCAUCAUUAUAAUUUUGUCACCUUGGGGAUCUAUGUAAAUGGAACCAUUUAGUAUGUAACCUUUUAAGACUGGAUACUGUCACUCAGCAUAAUACCCAUGAGAUCCAUCCAAGUUGUUCUGUGUAUGUUCCUUCUCAUUGCUGGGGAGAAUUCCAGUGUAUGGUUGUACCAGUUUCUUUAUCUAUUCACCCUCUUAAGGACAUUUGGGUUAUUUCUAAGAUUUGGCUCUUGUAAAUAAACCUGCCAUGAACUUUCAUGCACAGAUUUUUGUGUGAUAAGUCAUCUUUAGGAUCAAUACCUGGGAGUAGGAUUGACGGGUCAUGUGCUAGGUGUAUGCUAAAGUUUACAGGAUGUUGCCAAGUUCUCCAGAGAGGCUGUAGCAUUUACAUGUAGCAUUUACAUGUAGCAUUUAUCAGCAACAUGUAAGAGUUCCAGAUGCUUUGCAUCCUUGUCAUCACUUAGUAUUGUCAGUAUUUUAUUUUAGCCACUUUAAUAGGUGUGUAGUGUAUCUCAUUGUGGGUUAAGGUUGCCUUUCCCUACUGGUUAAUGAUGUUGAACAUCUUUUCUUGUGCUUAUUUACCAUGGGUGUGUCCUCUUUAGUGAAGACUCAGUUCAAGAUUUCUGCCCUUUUUCUAAAAUUUAACUGUUAAGUUUUGAGAUUUAAAAAAUAUUCUGGCUCCAAGUCCUUUGUUAGAUAUGUGAUUUGAAAAUGUUUUUCUUUCAGUGUGUAGGUUCUAAAAAAUUCUCUUAACUGUAACUUUCAUGAGUAAAAUUUUUUAAAUUUGUGAGAUUCAAUUUAUCAAUUUUUCUUUUCUUUUAUAGAUAGUACUUUUGGUGUCAUGUCUAAGAAUUCUUUGCCUAAUCCUCAAUUCCAAAGAUUUUCUCUUUUGGUUUCUUCUAUGGUUUGGUCUAUUGCCCAUUUUCGGUUAAUUUUUGUAGAAAGUGUAAGAGGUUCUUUUUUGCUAUGGAUGUCCAGUUGUUCCAGCGCCAUUUGUUGAAAUGAAUAUUUUUUCUCCCUUGAAUUGCUGUUGGCUUUUUGUCAAAAAUAAAUUGGCUAUACUUCUGUGGGACUGUUUUUGGUCUCUAUUCUGACAUUGAUCUGUGCAUCUAUUACUUUACCAGUGUUGCCCUGUCUUGAUUACUGUAGCUAUAUAGUAAGUCUUAAAACCAGGAAGUAUGUUUCUUCCAACUUUUUGCCUCUUUUUCAGAAUUGUUUUAGCUAUUUUAUAGUUCCUUUGUCCUUUCAUAUAAAUUUUAGAAUAAGAUUGUCUAUGUCUUAAAAAAAGAUCCUGCUGAGAUUUUGAUAGAAAUUGUGUUAAAUCUAUAGACCAAUUUAUGGAGAACUGAUAUCUUUACUAUAUUGAGCCUUCCAAGGCAUGAACACAGUAUGUCUCCCCAUUUUUUUAGGUUUUCUCUGAUUUCUCUCAUUGGCAUUUUGUAGUUUGCAGCACACAAACAGAUCCUAAACAUGUUUUGUUAGUUUAUACUUAAGUAUUUCAAUUUGCUUCAUUGUAAAUGGUGUAUUACGUUUAAAAUUUCAGUUUCCAAUUGUUCAGUGCUAGUAUAUAGAAAUACCAGUGAUUUUUUGUUUGUUAACCUUGUAUCUGUGGCUUCCCUAGACUCACUGGUUCUGGAAAGGUUUUUGUGUUUAGAUUCCUUGCGAGUUUCUACGUACACAGUGUCAUGUGAAUAGGGACAGUUUUAUUUUCCCCUUUUAAAUCUCUUUUCCAGUGCCUUUUAAUUUUCUUUUCUUGCCAUAUUGCACUGACUAGGAAUUCCAGUAUUAUGCUGAAUAGGAGUGGUGAGGCUGGACAUCUUUGCUUUGCUCUUAAUGUUAUGGGGAAAGCAUUCAGUCUUUCAUCAUUAAGUAUGAUGUUGACUACAGGGUUUUUUGUUUUUUAUUUUUUCUAGAUACUUUUCAUUUGGUUCAAGAAGUUUCCUUCUAUUCCUAGUUCAUUGAGUUUUUAUCCUGAAUGGGGUUUGAAUAUUAUGAAUGCUUUUCCUGCUUCAAUUGAUAUGACCAUGUCAUUUUCCUUCUCUAGACUAUUAAUAUGGUGGAUUGCAUUGAUUAUUGAAUAUUGACCUAGCUUUUCAUCCUUGGAUUAACCCCACUUGCUCAUGGUGUCUUGUACUCCUUAUAUAUGGCUGGAUCCAAUUUGCUAAUAUUUCAUUGAGGAUUCUUGUCUCUGUGUUCAUGAGGGAUGUUGGUCUAUGGUACUGUGUUUGUAUGGUUUUGAUAUCAGGGUAAUGUUGGCUUCAUAAAAUGAGUUGAGAAGUGUUCCCUCCUCUUAUUUCCUGGAAGGGAUUGUGCCAGGAUUGUUACUUCUUUAAACGUGUAGUAAAAUUUACCAGUGAAACCAUCUGGCUUUGGUGAUUUCCUUUUGGGGGGAUGGUUUUAAUGAUAACUUCAGUGUCUUUGUUAGUUAUACAACUACUGAGAUUAUGUAUUAUUUCAUCUUCAGUGAGUUUUAGUAGUUUGUGGUUUUCAAGGAAUUGGUUUAUUUCAUCUAACUUGUUGAGUUUAAGUGCAUAAAGCUGUUCUUAGUGUUCAUUUUUGGAAUAUCUUGAGGGAUCUGUAUGAUGUACCAUCUCUCAUUCCUAAUAUUGGUAGUUUGUAUCUUCUUUUUCCUUUGAUGAACCUCUAGCAAGACUGACACUUUUUUUUUCCAAAGAACUGGCUUUUUUUUUUUUUCUAUUUUUGCCUUUGACUUCAUUGUUUUCUUUUUUUUAACGCAUUGUUUACUUUGUUUAUUUAUUAUUUAUUUAUUUAUGGCUGUGUUGGGUCUUCGUUUCUGUGCGAGGGCUUUCUCCAGUUGUGGCAAGCGGGGGCCACUCUUCAUCGCGGUGCGCGGGCCUCUCACUAUCGCGGCCUCUCUUGUUGCGGAGCACAGGCUCCAGACGCGCAGGCUCAGUAAUUGUGGCUCACGGGCCUAGUUGCUCCGUGGCAUGUGGGAUCCUCCCAGACCAGGGCUCGAACCCGUGUCCCCUGCAUUGGCAGGCAGAUUCUCAACCACUGCGGCACCAGGGAAGCCCCUCUGCUCUUUCUUUACUGUUUUUUUUUUGGUGAACGGCCCCCUGCUGUUGAUGGGUGGAGUUCUAUAAAAAUAAAUGGAGCUAAGCUGCUUAACCGUCCUGUUCUAUUAUAUCCUUGAUGAGAAGAGGGUCUUCACUUGCAUGUAGUCCAAUCGAUCCAGUAUAUAUAACACUUAGUGGCUAGCUCUUUGUGUCUUAUUUGGUAAAAAUUUACCUAUCCCUAUUUUUUCUUCCAAAAGCUUUACUGUUUUACCUUUUACAUUUGCAGUUUAUCCUGGCUUGUUCUGUAUGGUAUAAGGGUUAAGAAUACUUUUUUGUUGUUUCUAUUGCAAGUAUCAAUCGACCCCAGUUAUUUUUUUUAUUAUUUUUUUAAUGAGAAACCUAUUGUUUGGGCCAGCAAUUUGCUGAAGAAUCCUGAAAAGGGAGGGAGCAGCAGGGAGUGUCCCUGACUCAGAGAGGAGCCCGGUAGCAGGCUGUGUGUGUGUGACGUUAUUUGGCCUUUACGUCUAGGCAGUUGCUAAAGGUUGGUAGCUGUGGGCAGGUAUCACCCCUGCCCCAAACGGGUCUUCCCCAGCCAGCCCCCUCCCUCUUCGUGUGGGGAUGGCUUAUGUGUGUGUCUCCUCAUUUAGCUCUGGUGUCACUUGGGGCCAAGGAACCUAGUGAGGCUGUGAAUCUUACUUUGGAGGAAUGUGGGCUUUGCCUGGGAGCUUCAGGGGUCCACUUUGACCUUCUUCGCCCUGUCUGGCCUGGUGUUACCACCUGGGGCAGCCUGUCUCACAGCUCCUGUGGCUGGGUGUAAUGAUUCACUUUUGUGUGUCAGUUGGGCUAGGCCAUGGUGCCUAGAUGUCUCUGGGAUUUUUUAGAUGUGAUUAACAUUUAAACUAGUAGACUCUGAAUGAAGCAGAUGACCAUCAUGUGGACGGGCCUCGUCCAAUCAGUUGAAGGCUAGAAGACUGAGGUCCCCGAGAAGAAAGGAACCCAGACCCGAGCCCUGCAAUACCAACAACUCCUUCCUGAGUCUCCAGCCUGUCGGCCAGCCCUAGAAAUGUCAGACUCCCUGGCCCUGACAAUCACGGCCUGGCGGGACAGAGUGGUGGAUGGAUGCAAGGCUGGGCCCAAGCUCCCGGCCGGUUUCCCAGGAAUAGCCAGGGGCCCUGCUCUUUAGAUUUUGGGGAAGAAAAAGCUGAGGGUUCCCAGUCUUGCCCAAAGGGUUUCAGUGCCCUUGUCUCCACCACCUCGGAUGCUGCUGACCGUUUCAUGAUCCUGGGGCACAGGAGGCCAAGCCACCCGGCGCACCUUCCGAAGAGAGACCGUGGAUCUGCCAGAAGCCUGCUGAAGACGCAGGGGAGUCCCCGGGCUCCCCCACGUGGCAUGUGUGCUUGGGGCCCAGAGAGCUGUGGUCAUGGCGUGUGGCCCUUUCAGCAGGAACUGCCAGCUGGCCCACUCCUACCUCCAGAUGUCCAGGAACGAGCCCAGUCCUUUGCAGACAGGAUGGCCCCAUGCGCGGACUUCACGCCCCGGAAAGGUCUGCAGCUGCCCCGCGCGUGCGGCGAGGACGGCUGCGGUCCCGGGUGACCCCUCCCACUCACCGAGCGCCCCCAGGUUCUCCGUCUGGAAGACCUUCUGCAGGGGCGGCAGGUAUAUCACCGCCAGCUGCCCCAGGACAGACCCGAGCACGGAGUAGAGGAACGUGCGGUUCCUGAGGAAGCCGAUCUCGAAUAUCAGCUUGGUCUGCGGAGAAGGGCACAGUUGGGGCACAGGAGCCGCCCCGAGACUAGGGCCAGGAAAGCAUGAGCCGGUGCUGCCGGGGGCAGCGGGGCCUCACCUGGGAGCGGCAGGUCAAGGCGUUGAAGAGGUCGAAGAGCACGAAACAGGUGAAGGUCAUGGUCGUGGUGCGUGGGGUGCUUGCCUUGUCUUCGGGCAUCUGGAACACGAGUGCACCGGGUGAGAAGGUGCAGGGGGGGCGGGGACCCCGCCCUCAGGACCCCUGUGUCAGAACAGACAGAUCUGUGCUUCUCCCACCUUCCGGGCCGUUGAGGAUGCAAGAAAGAGCCCAGCUGCUCCGCGGGGGUGGCGUGGGGGACACCCCUGAGAAAAACUGAGAUCUGGGGGGUGUCCGGCGCCCCAUCCCCCCUCCCGCACAUGGGCGAGCUGGGGUUUAAACGCCUGGACGGUCACCCGCCUAAUUCUCUCUCCAGCUCACUGGCCGUCUCAGCACAGGGGCUGCCUGAACCUGCAGGCCAUGGAAAGGUGACCCAUAAUAAGAUCCCCUACAGUGAGAACAGACGGCCUCUUCAAUAAGUGGUGCUGGGAAAACUGGACAGCUACAUGUAAAAGAAUGAAAUUAGAACACUCCCUAACACCAUCCACAAAAAUAAACUCCAGAUGGAUUAAAGACCUAAAUGUAAGGCCAGACACUAUCAAACCCCUAGAGGAAAACAUAGGCAGAACACUCUGACAUAAAUCAGAGAAAUAUCUUCUUUGAUCCACCUCCUAGAGUAAUGAAAAUAAAAACAAAGACAACCCACAGAAUGGGAGAAAAUAUUUGCAAAUGAGGCAACUGACAAGGGCUUAAUCUCCAAAAUAUACAAACAGCUCAUACAGCUCAAUAUCAACAAAACAACCCAGUCAAAAAAUGGGCAGAAGACCUAAAUAGACAUUUCUCCAAAGAGGACAUACAGAUGGCCAAAAAGCACGUAAAAAGCUGCUCAACAUCACUAAUUAUUAGAGAAAUGCAAAUCAAAACUACAAUGAGGUAUCACCUCACACAGGUCAGAAGGGCCAUCAUCAAA